UCAGACGAUGCGUCAUGCAUAUCAAUAAGCGGAGGAAAAGAAACUAACAAGGAUUCCCCUAGUAACGGCGAGUGAAGCGGGAAGAGCUCAAAUUUGAAAUCUUAAAGGGUUUCCCUUUACGAAUUGUAGUUUAAAGAAGUGUUUUCUGUUGAGGUUUUGGUAAAAGUUCUUUGGAAUAGGACAUCAUAGAGGGUGAGAAUCCCGUAUUUGACCUUUACUUUCAACUUUGUGAUACACUUUCAAAGAGUCGGAUUGUUUGGGAAUGCAGUCCAAAAUGGGUGGUAAAUUUCAUUUAAAGCUAAAUAUUGGCGAGAGACCGAUAGCGAACAAGUACCGUGAGGGAAAGAUGAAAAGAACUUUGAAAAGAGAGUUAAACAGUACGUGAAAUUGUCAAAAGGGAAGCGUUUGACACCAGUGUUGUUUUUCUGAAAAUCAAUUAAAGAACUGUUUAUGCUAAGCUGUUUAGACUUUAUCAGCUAUCUGUUUAGUUUUAGGCUUUUCUUUAAUGCACUUUUCAGUUAACAAGUCAACAUCAAUUUCUUUUGCUGUAAAAAAGCUUGAGGAAGGUGGCUUGAGAUUCGUCUUAAGUGUUUAUAGCCUCUUGCCUAUGCAGUCGGAGAGAUUGAGGUCUGCAGCGUAGAUCCUUCGGGGCUAAAUGUAUUUGUGCUAAGUUAUAGCAUUUCAUAGACAACUUGUUGACUAUGAUUUGUCUUGUAGCUUACUCGCUUAUGUUAUUUUACCUACGCUUAGGAUGUUGACACACGCGCGUGCUCG
rnacentral:rRNA from 1 species